rnacentral:rRNA from 1 species
AGUGUUUGAUCCUGGCUCAGGACGAACGCUGGCGGCGUGCUUAACACAUGCAAGUCGAGCGAGAAAGCGGCUUCGGCCGUGAGUACAGCGGCGAACGGGUGAGUAACACGUGGGCAACCUGCCCCGGAGACUGGGAUAACAGCCCGAAAGGGCUGCUAAUACCGGAUGACGUGCGAUCUGCCAAGUGGAUCGCACCAAAUGGUAGCCUCGGCUUCUGCUCCGGGAUGGGCCCGCGGCGGAUUAGCUUGUUGGUGAGGUAACGGCUCACCAAGGCGACGAUCCGUAGCUGGUCUGAGAGGACGAUCAGCCACACUGGGACUGAGACACGGCCCAGACUCCUACGGGAGGCAGCAGUGGGGAAUCUUGCGCAAUGGGCGAAAGCCUGACGCAGCAACGCCGCGUGAGCGAAGAAGGCCUUCGGGUUGUAAAGCUCUGUCAGGAGGGACGAAGCCACUCGGGUGAAUAGCCCAGAGGGUGACGGUACCUCCAGAGGAAGCCCCGGCUAACUACGUGCCAGCAGCCGCGGUAAUACGUAGGGGGCGAGCGUUGUCCGGAAUCAUUGGGCGUAAAGCGCGUGUAGGCGGCUCGGCAAGUCCGGUGUGAAAGCUCGAGGCUCAACCUCGAGUCUGCAUCGGAAACUGCCCUGCUUGAGUCCGGAAGAGGAGACUGGAAUUCCUGGUGUAGCGGUGAAAUGCGCAGAUAUCAGGAAGAACACCGGUGGCGAAGGCGGGUCUCUGGGACGGUACUGACGCUGAGACGCGAAAGCGUGGGGAGCAAACA